rnacentral:rRNA from 1 species
GGUUAAGUUAGAAAGGGCGCACGGUGGAUGCCUUGACACUAGGAGUCGAUGAAGGACGGGACUAACGCCGAUAUGCUUCGGGGAGCUGUAAGUAAGCUUUGAUCCGAAGAUUUCCGAAUGGGGAAACCCACCAUACGUAAUGGUAUGGUAUCCUUAUCUGAAUACAUAGGGUAAGGAAGACAGACCCAGGGAACUGAAACAUCUAAGUACCUGGAGGAAGAGAAAGCAAAUGCGAUUUCCUGAGUAGCGGCGAGCGAAACGGAACAUAGCCCAAACCAAGAGGCUUGCCUCUUGGGGUUGUAGGACAUUCUAUACGGAGUUACAAAGGAACGAGGUAGACGAAGCGGCCUGGAAAGGUCCGUCGUAGAGGGUAACAACCCCGUAGUCGAAACUUCGUUCUCUCUUGAAUGUAUCCUGAGUACGGCGGAACACGUGAAAUUCCGUCGGAAUCUGGGAGGACCAUCUCCCAAGGCUAAAUACUCCCUAGUGAUCGAUAGUGAACCAGUACCGUGAGGGAAAGGUGAAAAGCACCCCGGAAGGGGAGUGAAAGAGAUCCUGAAACCGUGUGCCUACAAAUAGUCAGAGCCCGUUAACGGGUGAUGGCGUGCCUUUUGUAGAAUGAACCGGCGAGUUACGAUCCCGUGCGAGGUUAAGCUGAAGAGGCGGAGCCGCAGCGAAAGCGAGUCUGAAUAGGGCGUUUAGUACGUGGUCGUAGACCCGAAACCAGGUGAUCUACCCAUGUCCAGGGUGAAGUUCAGGUAACACUGAAUGGAGGCCCGAACCCACGCACGUUGAAAAGUGCGGGGAUGAGGUGUGGGUAGCGGAGAAAUUCCAAUCGAACCUGGAGAUAGCUGGUUCUCCCCGAAAUAGCUUUAGGGCUAGCCUUAAGUGUAAGAGUCUUGGAGGUAGAGCACUGAUUGGACUAGGGGUCCUCAUCGGAUUACCGAAUUCAGUCAAACUCCGAAUGCCAAUGACUUAUCCUUAGGAGUCAGACUGCGAGUGAUAAGAUCCGUAGUCAAAAGGGAAACAGCCCAGACCGCCAGCUAAGGUCCCAAAGUGUGUAUUAAGUGGAAAAGGAUGUGGAGUUGCUUAGACAACUAGGAUGUUGGCUUAGAAGCAGCCACCAUUUAAAGAGUGCGUAAUAGCUCACUAGUCGAGUGACUCUGCGCCGAAAAUGUACCGGGGCUAAAUACACCACCGAAGCUGCGGAUUGAUACCAAUGGUAUCAGUGGUAGGGGAGCGUUCUAAGGACAGUGAAGUCAGACCGGAAGGACUGGUGGAGUGCUUAGAAGUGAGAAUGCCGGUAUGAGUAGCGAAAGACGGGUGAGAAUCCCGUCCACCGAAUGCCUAAGGUUUCCUGAGGAAGGCUCGUCCGCUCAGGGUUAGUCAGGACCUAAGCCGAGGCCGACAGGCGUAGGCGAUGGACAACAGGUUGAUAUUCCUGUACCACCUCUUUAUCGUUUGAGCAAUGGAGGGACGCAGAAGGAUAGAAGAAGCGUGCGAUUGGUUGUGCACGUCCAAGCAGUUAGGCUGAUAAGUAGGCAAAUCCGCUUAUCGUAAAGGCUGAGCUGUGAUGGGGAAGCUCCUUAUGGAGCGAAGUCUUUGAUUCCCCGCUGCCAAGAAAAGCUUCUAGCGAGAUAAAAGGUGCCUGUACCGCAAACCGACACAGGUAGGCGAGGAGAGAAUCCUAAGGUGUGCGAGAGAACUCUGGUUAAGGAACUCGGCAAAAUGACCCCGUAACUUCGGGAGAAGGGGUGCUUUCUUAACGGAAAGCCGCAGUGAAUAGGCCCAAGCGACUGUUUAGCAAAAACACAGCUCUCUGCGAAGCCGUAAGGCGAAGUAUAGGGGGUGACACCUGCCCGGUGCUGGAAGGUUAAGGAGAGGGGUUAGCGUAAGCGAAGCUCUGAACUGAAGCCCCAGUAAACGGCGGCCGUAACUAUAACGGUCCUAAGGUAGCGAAAUUCCUUGUCGGGUAAGUUCCGACCCGCACGAAAGGUGUAACGAUUUGGGCACUGUCUCAACCAGAGACUCGGUGAAAUUAUAGUACCUGUGAAGAUGCAGGUUACCCGCGACAGGACGGAAAGACCCCGUGGAGCUUUACUGUAGCCUGAUAUUGAAUUUUGGUACAGUUUGUACAGGAUAGGCGGGAGCCUUUGAAACCGGAGCGCUAGCUUCGGUGGAGGCGCUGGUGGGAUACCGCCCUGACUGUAUUGAAAUUCUAACCUACGGGUCUUAUCGACCCGGGAGACAGUGUCAGGUGGGCAGUUUGACUGGGGCGGUCGCCUCCUAAAGUGUAACGGAGGCGCCCAAAGGUUCCCUCAGAAUGGUUGGAAAUCAUUCGUAGAGUGCAAAGGCAUAAGGGAGCUUGACUGCGAGACCUACAAGUCGAGCAGGGACGAAAGUCGGGCUUAGUGAUCCGGUGGUUCCGCAUGGAAGGGCCAUCGCUCAACGGAUAAAAGCUACCCCGGGGAUAACAGGCUUAUCUCCCCCAAGAGUCCACAUCGACGGGGAGGUUUGGCACCUCGAUGUCGGCUCAUCGCAUCCUGGGGCUGUAGUCGGUCCCAAGGGUUGGGCUGUUCGCCCAUUAAAGCGGUACGCGAGCUGGGUUCAGAACGUCGUGAGACAGUUCGGUCCCUAUCCGUCGUGGGCGUAGGAAAUUUGAGAGGAGCUGUCCUUAGUACGAGAGGACCGGGAUGGACGCACCGCUGGUGUACCAGUUGUUCUGCCAAGGGCAUAGCUGGGUAGCUAUGUGCGGAAGGGAUAAGUGCUGAAAGCAUCUAAGCAUGAAGCCCCCCUCAAGAUGAGAUUUCCCAUAGCGUAAGCUAGUAAGAUCCCUGAAAGAUGAUCAGGUUGAUAGGUUCGAGGUGGAAGCAUGGUGACAUGUGGAGCUGACGAAUACUAAUAGAUCGAGGACUUAACCAU